GGGCUAUAGAGAGACGUGAGCUGUUUAACUACCCCUCAGAAAGACUAUUCUGCCAGGAUAAACCACAUAGCAGCUGGGAGUCAAACAGCCUCAAGUGAUGCUGGGAGCCUUGUGAUAAGCUCACUGGAAGGAGAAUGAGGUUAAACUGCAAUCUCUCCCAAUCACCUAGGAACUGCCACAGAUGCUACUGGAAAACAGUUUCUACCUGACUUAUUAGCAGCCCACAAGAUUCUCAAUAGCUCACAAGCCAGCUCACACAACUGAACUAUCACAAAGGAAAGUAGAUUUCUGUCUCACAUUGCUUGUAUAAUUAAAGGUACAAUUGAUUAUUCCAAUUUCCUUUAAAAUGCUCCGCUGUGUGUU
rnacentral:lncRNA from 1 species